UUCAUCCUUGCAAUUAGGGGUC
rnacentral:miRNA from 1 species